ACCCUUUCUGUGUUCUUGUCUUAAAGUCUCACGCUGGUAAAGUGGUGCUGAGGAGCUGGUAUGAGAAGAACAAACACAUCUUCCCUGCCAGUCGCUGGGAGCCGUACGAUCCUGAGAAGAAAUGGGACAAAUAUACGAUCCGGUGAAACCGCUGUCCUCUUCACUCUCUGGAAUCCUUCAUGCAGAUUUUUCUUUUGUUACGUUCCAUGUUAUUUUACUCAUUUAAUCAAUGCUUUAUCAAGAUGUGAUAAACUAUUGAUUCAUGACUUGACUUUGAAAUACUAAAUUUCCCAGAUGUAUUUGAAUUGCAAAUGUUUCCUGUGAAAACAUUCAUGUGUGUAUAGCUCAUUAACAUGAUAAUAAAUAGCCUUGGUAUGACUCGGUUAACUGAAAGAUU